rnacentral:rRNA from 1 species
CCUACGGGCGGCAGCAGUGAGGAAUAUUGGUCAAUGGACGAGAGUCUGAACCAGCCAAGUAGCGUGAAGGAUGACUGCCCUAUGGGUUGUAGACUUCUUUUAUAUGGGGAUAAAACGUUCCACGUGUGGGGUUUUGUAUGUACCAUAUGAAUAAGGAUCGGCUAACUCCGUGCCAGCAGCCGCGGUAAUACGGAGGAUCCGAGCGUUAUCCGGAUUUAUUGGGUUUAAAGGGAGCGUAGGUGGAUUGUUAAGUCAGUUGUUAAAGGUUGCGGCUCAACCGUAAAAUUGCAGUUGAUACUGGCAGUCUUGAGUACAGUAGAGGUGAGCGGAAUUCGUGGUGUAGCGGUGAAAUGCUUAGAUAUCACGAAGAACUUCGAUGGCGAAGGCAGUUCACUGGACUGUAACUGACACUGAGGAUCGAAAGUGUGGGUAUCAAACAGGAUUAGAUACCCCAGUAGUC